CAUUAAGGGGGUUGGAUCCAGCUGGCGUGUCCACAAUUCUUGUCUGUUUUCUUUUCUUUAUUUGAUACCGGUAGAGCCCAUUAGAUGAAUGGCCAGUUAAAAUACUUUCUUGACAUGGCUUUUAUACUAGCUUUAGUCCAGUCUAUGUCGCUCUAAUAAUAGCGAAAGAGAUCAGGCAAAUGAUAAGGGCCACAGAAACUUUGAAGAUAUGCAAUGGAUGGUCCGAAUGCUCAGAGAUAAAGCAGAACGGAUUCUUGAGCUUUGUUCGAAUCGAGGCUCUCUUAUCCAGGAUUUGCAAAUAUUAGACAAUUGCGGAGAAGGAUUUGCUAAAUCGGCUAGGUAUAGCUGAGAUUGGUAGAGUCCGUGGUGAUAUUUUUCCACGGCUUUCUUGAACUUUAAUGGCGGAGCAGAGUCGUUGUGGAAAGUAGUACUCUUUGAAAGAAAAGCUCAAGAAAGCCGUGGGAAAAUAUAGAGGGAUUCGGAAAUGCGCUAGAUUUGCUCUUCUUCUUCCUUGCUCCGAUUCGGCGGAACACAACAGAACGGAAGAGCAUAGUAUAUUUCGUUUUCUCUGCCAUGGAAUUGAUGUCCACGAGUAUUGGAUACAAAUGUUACCUGUCGCACAGCAGAAGAGAUCUUUCAUCAAAUCAAUUUUAUUGCCGUGGAGAAUGGAAGAGCAGAGUGGACUAGAUACAAAUGUUGCCUGUCGCACAGCAGAGGAAAUCUUUCAUCAAAUCAAUCUUAUUGCAAUGGAGUGAUUGCAUUUAUUCGAAUGGCAUUCUGAGAAAACAAUGUCAGGCUCCUCCUCAACCAGGUUUUCAAUCGAAGCAUUCCACGAUUAAAGAAAAGCAGCAGGAACAGUUGUGCAUGUUCUGUAAAAGCUUUUCAUGCAGGCUAUCGAAUAAAAUCUUUUGAAGAAAUGGUGAAACUGUAAGUCUCAAUUGAGUGUCCAGAUAAAUAACUUAAUUAUAUUUUUUUGGAUUUUUGUGGCUACAAAUAAGAUAAAAAUUGGAUCAUAGAUUUGUGAGGAUGGAAAGCGUAUCAGCGAUUGAUUUGCACAAAUGACCUUGAUUUUAGAAAGAUUUUAAAAUGUUUUGAAAGGCACGUUUCUCCGCUUAAGCAUAACAAAAGAAAGUUCACGGUAUCUGCAAUAUAACAAUCACAUUAAAU